UAGGGAAUCUUCCGCAAUGGGCGAAAGCUUGACGGAGCAACGCCGCGUGAGUGAUGAAGGUCUUCGGAUCGUAAAACUCUGUUAUUAGGGAAGAACAAAUGUGUAAGUAACUAUGCACGUCUUGACGGUACCUAAUCAGAAAGCCACGGCUAACUACGUGCCAGCAGCCGCGGUAAUACGUAGGUGGCAAGCGUUAUCCGGAAUUAUUGGGCGUAAAGCGCGCGUAGGCGGGUUUUUAAGUCUGAUGUGAAAGCCCACGGCUCAACCGUGGAGGGUCAUUGGAAACUGGAAAACUUGAGUGCAGAAGAGGAAAGUGGAAUUCCAUGUGUAGCGGUGAAAUGCGCAGAGAUAUGGAGGCACCCCAGUGGCGAAGGCGACUUUCUGGUCUGUAACUGACGCUGAUGUGCGAAAGCGUUGGGAUCAAACAGG
rnacentral:rRNA from 1 species